rnacentral:lncRNA from 1 species
GAAAAUCAACAUUUAUAUAAAUGCAUGUAUAUAAAUAAACUUAGAAGCGUAUGUAUAGAAUUCUGCAUCCCACAGUUCUCACCUAAAAUUACUUAAAAGGAGUUUCCAAUGGCGUUCAAUGUUUAUAUUUCAUAAACACCCACGUAGCAUUUACUCUGUACCAGAAACUGUUCUAAGUGUUCCACAAGCAUUAAUUCUUCACAGCAGGCUUUUGAGGUGAGUAUUAUUAUUAUCCCCAUUUGUAGUUGGAGACACUGACAGAUCACAGAGCAGGCAAGUGGCAGAGCUGGAGUUCACAUUCAGCUGUUUGGCUCCAAAGGCCACGCCCUUGACCACCAUGCUGGGCUGCCUCUGUGGUCUUUGGAAACCUGACCUUUUAUGACUCCAUAAUAUUCCGUUUGGUCUCCUAGGAUUGGGGCAAUCCCCCAUCAAAGACCUCAAAGGGCCUUCCAGUCAAGGUCCCUUCAGCUCUCUGAGUUACUCUUACCGAUUGUAGGAAAAGGCAAGCAUGCUGAAGAACAGUUGGCUCCACGGGUGACUACGAGUUUGGGGUGGGACCCCAGGGACAGGCUAUUUAUGGCGAACUGGGGAAACACAGCCAAAGAAACACCCACUGUAAGAGCAUUAGCUGUGUGGCCCCAGCCCCCGCGCCUCGGCUCCCCAGGGAAUGGCCACUUCUCCACUAUCUGCUCGGCAAGCCCUUCUGCGGAGCCACCCUGCCCUGGAGGCUGGACUGCCUGUUUCUGAAGCCACCUUCCGUGGGUCCUAAGUGAGGUCUGCAAGAAACUGGCUGUCACCAUCCAAGCCUGCCAGCUUCACAUGAUAAAACUCCCUGGCACUCUGAGCUGGUGUGCCCCACAGACACCUCACCACCACCCGCUCCAGGGAGGGGCCCUCCUGAGUGAUGUGCCAGGAGGCAGGGCCAGGCCUGCUGGGAGGCGGGCCUGCCUCAUCGGUAUUUCCAUUUCCACUCAGCCCUCAGGCUGAAAGGGAGGAAUGGGACACUCCUCAAAGCCAGCACGGUAAUUGAGGAGGCAUUAAGCUUAAUUAGGCUAAUCGUCUGCCUGAAGUCAUUCACCUUCAACCUCCAAAAAGCAACUUCAGAAAAAACCUCGUAGCAGCCGUGGGGCUGGAGGGCGCAGGUGGAGGAUUAAGGAGCUGGUGUCUGGAAUUCCUAAGAGGAUUCCGGCACGGUCUCAGGAGUCUUGGGGUGCAGAGCCAACCAACUAAACCUAUGCCCAAGACGGACCCAAAGGGGAACUUCUCAGCUUUUAGUCCCAAGCCGGGAUCUGGGCUUGGCUGAGGCUGGGGGACUUUUCCGGUUUCCCUCUGAGCCUAUUUGAUUUGGUCAGUGGAGACCUGACCAAGGGAGCCGAUGUGCCCACACACGUUCCCACAGGUCCCCACAGGUUUACUUUCUCCAGCUGUUUCGCUCCCCAUAGCAAUGGCCUCCUGUCUGCCAGGGCUGAAGGACAGACAGUGGUGUUUAAUUUUGUGUAACUGACCAACUAACAGACAGAAAGACUUCCCCAUCUUUCUGUGGAGUGACUCUUUACUCAAAAGACCCGCAUGCAAGCGUUGAUGGCUGAAAAGCCCAGCUGAAAAUGAGCAAUCCUUUGCAAUGAGGAAAAAAACAAACAAAUAAUCUAUUUAGCAGCUACAUGGAAUCCCAAACCCCCAUAUCUCAAAAGCUCCAGGGAAUAGAGACUGGAGAGGCCAAACCAGCCCGGUGACUGGGGGGUAGGGAAAGAACCUGGAAGCCGGUUUCACUCCGGGUCUGCAAAAGUCCACCCACCUAUGGUACAAACCUCACUGAAUCAGAACCCACCCAUCCAGAAUUCUUGAUAGUUUAGACACAGAAGACCUGGAUCCUUCCUCGGUGAGGGUUUGGGGGAGGCACAUUGGUGAGCACAAUCGUGGGAAAAUGUUAGCCUCACUGAGUCUUCCCAAUCCCCUUAGCAGCACAUAUUGGCAUACAAGGAGCUAGACAGAAGUAAUCCUACUUUGUCCAUCAGAGCGGAUUCUCGCCAUUAGAGGCUCCUUCACUGGCUGUGGGCCCAGCCUUCAUACACACUCUUUACAAAAAGUGACAGACAGGAAGUUGAUGGAUUGAUGCCUGCCAGGUGCUGGAGAGGAGCGCUAAUCUUCCGCUCUCCUGCUAAGCGGCAGGCACCAGUCAAGGUGACUGACAUUGAAGUCACUCCUUACAAUAAACCUGUGGGGUAGACAUUGUUAACCCA